GACCUGAACUCAGUCGAGAGCACCCCCU
rnacentral:rRNA from 1 species